GACGAACGCUGGCGGCGUGCUUAACACAUGCAAGUCGAACGAAAAUACCAAGCUUGCUUGGUUGAUUAGUGGCGAACGGGUGAGUAACACGUGAGUAACCUGCCCCUUACUUUCCUGGAUAACUGCUCGAAAGGGUAGCUAAUACGGGAUAUUCUGACCAGCCUGCAUGGGUUGGUUUGGAAAGGUUGUUUUUCUGGUAAGGGAUGGGCUCGCGGCCUAUCAGCUUGUUGGUGGGGUGAUGGCCUACCAAGGCUUUGACGGGUAGCCGGCCUGAGAGGGUGGACGGUCACACUGGGACUGAGAUACGGCCCAGACUCCUACGGGAGGCAGCAGUGGGGAAUAUUGCACAAUGGGCGCAAGCCUGAUGCAGCGACGCCGCGUGAGGGAUGAAGGCCUUCGGGUUGUAAACCUCUUUCGCCAGGGAACAAGGCACUGCUUUUUUGGUGGUGUUGAGGGUACCUGGAUAAGAAGCGCCGGCUAACUACGUG
rnacentral:rRNA from 1 species